UACGUAGGGGGCUAGCGUUGUCCGGAAUCAUUGGGCGUAAAGAGCGUGUAGGCGGUCCGGUAAGUCCGUUGUGAAAGUCAAGGGCUCAACCCUUGAAUGCCGGCGGAUACUGUCGGGCUAGAGUCCGGAAGAGGCGAGUGGAAUUCCUGGUGUAGCGGUGAAAUGCGCAGAUAUCAGGAAGAACACCCGUGGCGAAGGCGGCUCUCUGGGACGGUACUGACGCUGAGACGCGAAAGCGUGGGGAGCGAACAGG
rnacentral:rRNA from 1 species